rnacentral:rRNA from 1 species
UACGGAGGGUGCGAGCGUUGUCCGGAAUCACUGGGCGUAAAGGGCGCGUAGGCGGUCACGCACGUCCGUUGUGAAAUCGCUCGGCUCAACUGGGCGGGGUCAGCGGAUACGGCGUGGCUGGAGCAAGCUAGGGGGCAAUGGAAUUCCCGGUGUAGUGGUGGAAUGCGUAGAUAUCGGGAGGAACACCAGUGGCGAAGGCGGUUGCCUGGAGCUUUGCUGACGCUGAUGCGCGAAAGCGUGGGGAGCAAACAGG